UAGCUAUUUAGGUUAGAGUUUGAUCAUGGCUCAGAUUGAACGCUGGCGGCAUGCUUUACACAUGCAAGUCGAGCGGCAGCGCGGGGGCAACCCUGGCGGCGAGCGGCGAACGGGUGAGUAGUGCAUCGGAACGUGUCCUGUAAUGGGGGAUAACGCCGCGAAAGCGGCGCUAAUACCGCAUACGCUCUACGGAGGAAAGUGGGGGACCUGCAAGGGCCUCACGUUAGGGGAGCGGCCGAUGUCCGAUUAGCUAGUUGGUGGGGUAAUGGCUUACCAAGGCUUCGAUCGGUAGCUGGUCUGAGAGGAUGAUCAGCCACACUGGGACUGAGACACGGCCCAGACUCCUACGGGAGGCAGCAGUGGGGAAUUUUGGACAAUGGGGGCAACCCUGAUCCAGCCAUGCCGCGUGCGGGAAGAAGGCCUUCGGGUUGUAAACCGCUUUUAGCCGGGAAGAAAAGUCUCUGGAUAACACCCGGAGGUUUUGACGGUACCGGCGGAAUAAGCACCGGCUAACUACGUGCCAGCAGCCGCGGUAAU
rnacentral:rRNA from 1 species